CUCCGAAUCCCCACCUUCUUCUUCCACUUAUAACGACAUGAUGAAGAUGACCUCUACUUCUUCCCCUAAGAAAAGGUUAGUUAACUCUCUAUUAUUGUUAUAAUUGAAAAAAAGAAAAGAAAAAGUAAUUGUCCCAUAAAACAAACCUACUCUAACCAUGAACAUAUGUAAGUAAUUGUAACUUGUACUACGUAAUAAUAAUGUGUAUCAGUACGGUUGGUUAAUGAGUACCCGAUCGAUUUUUCUAAUUUUAGAUGAAUAUUUCUUAUGAAUAUGCAGUUUUGUUUACUUAUGUAUAUAUAAAAUUAAAAAAAAAAAAAGAAAUUAAUUAAGUGGGGAUUUGAUGAUGAGCAGGCGAGCUAUGCAGAAGAGAGUAAUAUCAGUGCCAAUCAAGGAGGUGGAGGGAUCAAGACUGAAAGGGGAGAGCGCCCCACCCUCCGAUUCCUGGGCUUGGCGAAAAUACGGCCAGAAACCCAUCAAAGGCUCUCCUUAUCCGAGGUCUGUACUCACCACCGAUCACUAUCUCUACCUCCAACGUUCGUUCAAUUUCUCAUUAUGUAUUCCCAGCGUUAGCGUACGAGCAAACCAAAUUAAUUACACUCAAAACUAAACAACAACAUAAAUAAAUAAAUACAUAAUUGGAUUUUACAAAAUUUGCAGAGGAUAUUACAGAUGUAGCAGCUCGAAAGGCUGCCCGGCAAGAAAACAAGUGGAGCGAAGCAGCGUGGACCCCAGCAUGCUACUCAUCACCUAUUCUUGUGAACACAACCACCCUUGGCCUCUUCCUUCUACUUCUAGAAACCACCACCACCACCAC
rnacentral:lncRNA from 1 species